rnacentral:lncRNA from 1 species
UCAAUUCUUGUCUUCUUUUUCAGCCUUUCUUCUUGCUCUGCUUUUCCUUGAACUUAGAGAUGACUCGAACCGUCCAUCUUCAUGCUCAUCCGAAUCUCUAAGCGAUUUCUUACAGAUUCAAAUAAACAAAACGUUAGAAAAAACAAAAAUAAAAUAAUUGUACUUUAUGCUACUUUGAUUGAAAAGAAAAGAGAUUACAACGAUGUUGAGAGAUACCUCUCUAAGCUCAGAAAAGCUUACAGCAGAGGCGGCGGCGGCGGCGGCGGCGGCAUCAGCAGCUACAGUUCCUAGUAUGGGAAGUGCUAUUUGCAUUCUAGCAUCCAUU